rnacentral:rRNA from 1 species
CCAAAAAAACGAGAGAUGAAUGGUCCUCCGCAAGGAGGAUUUGCUCGAAUCCAGGAGACAAUGAAAACAAGAAUGGGAAGAUACUUUCAAGACCGUACCGAGAUCCGACACUGGUGCCCUAGAUUAGUAGUCUAAGGUCUAUCGGGUAUACCGUAUGGCGAGGGAACUCGGCAAAAUAGCUCCGUACCUAUGGUAUAAGGAGUGCCUGCAGUUUUCAUGAAGAAUGGGAACCGCAGGUCGCAGUGACAAGGGGGUCCCGACUGUUUAAUAAAAACACAGGUGGUCGCUAGUCCGAAAGGAUGUGUACGGCCUCUGUAUCCAGGCCAGUGGCGGUACCUAAAACCUGGGUUCAACUGGGCUAAGGGCCGCUAAACGCCGGGAGUAACUCUGACUCUCUUAAGGUAGCCAAAUGCCUUGUCGGGUAAGUUCCGACGUGCAUGAAUGGAACAACGAGGACCCCGCUGUCCCCGCCUACAACCCGGUGAAGCCACAUAACGUGGACGAACAGUCCACGAACCUCUGUCGGGGAGAGAAGACCCUGUGGAGCUUUACUGCAGCCUGUUGUUGCUGUAUGGUUGCGAAUGCAGAGAGUAGCUGGGAGCCUUCGAAGUCAGUCCUCCGGGAUUGAUGGAGGCAACGUUGUAACACCAGCCAUUUGCUACCGUACGGCUAACCCGUUUUUACGGGGACAUCGGCAGGUGGGCAGUUCGGCUGGGGCGGCACCCCCUUGAAAAGGUAUCGAGGGGGCCCAAAGAUUGGCUCAAGCGGGACAGAACUCCGCUGUUGAGGGCAAAGCCAGAAGCCAGUCUGACUGGAUCUCCAAUGAUACGAGAUUCAGAGGCGAAAGCCGGGCUUAGCGAUCCAUCAUGUCCCCACUAUUGGGGGCUGGUGGUGACAGAAAAGUUACCCUAGGGAUAACAGGCUCGUCGCGGGCGAGAGCUCCUAUCGACCCCGCGGUUUGGUACCUCGAUGUCGGCUCUUCCCAUCCUGGUUCUGCAGCAGGAGCCAAGGGUGGGGCUGCUCGCCCAUUAAAGGGGAACGCGAGCUGGGUUUAGACCGUCGUGAGACAGGUCGGUCUCUGCCUGACAGGGGUGUAGUUGUUUGAGGGGAAGUUGCCCAUAGUACGAGAGGAACAGGGCAGCGCAGCCUCUGGUUUAUCAGUUGUCCGACAGGGCAGGCUGAGCCGCUAAGCUGUUUAGGAUAACUCCUGAAAGCAUCUAAGGAGGAAACCUUUCCCGAGAAAAGACAACCUUCUGUAAGGAGAAGGGCAGCUAUAGAAGAUAGCGUUGAUAGAAUGGAGGUGUACGCAUCGAGCUUUCUGCGAGGUGUUCAGCCUGCCAUUACUAAUAGCCCAACC